UGCCAGCCGCCGCGGUAACACGGGGGGCGCGAGCGUUAUUCGGAAUUAUUGGGCGUAAAGGGCGCGCAGGCGGUCUUGUCAGUCAGGUGUGAGAGCCCCGGGCUCAACCUGGGAUGGUCAUUUAGAACUGGCAGACUAGAGUCUUGGAGAGGGGAGUGGAAUUCCAGGUGUAGCGGUGAAAUGCGUAGAGAUCUGAAGGAACAUCAGUGGCGAAGGCGACCUCCUGGACUGAUAUUGACGCUGAGGUGCGAAAGCGUGGGGAGCAAACAGGAUUAGAUA
rnacentral:rRNA from 1 species